UGUAUGCAUUCACUGUAAGUCGCUCUGGUUAAGAGCGUCUGCUAAAUGACUAAAA
rfam:Salmo salar isolate Sally breed double haploid chromosome ssa06, whole genome shotgun sequence.